UUAACACAUUUUAAUUUUUUUCCCACUCUAAGGUUGCUUACUUUUAAAAUUACAGGGUCCAGAGGAAUUACAAAAGAUAAAGCCACCGUUUCAUCAAAUCUGAAAGCAUUGUCAAAGUAAAUUUUUUACAAUAGCCAACCACCCAAGGAGGAGCUAAGUUAAAUCCAACAUUGAGCACCCCAUGGCACCUUGUUGGCACACUGUUUGGCUGCUAUUUUUGGGGAAACCUGCUGCUGUCUGUCGGUUUGAGCCAAAACCACAAUAACUUUAUUCUGCAAAGUAAUCAACUGUUAAGAGCGUACGUUCUGUCACUUAUUACUGGUAAAGUUUAGAAACUUCAAGCUUGGCCAGAGUAAAACAAACAAAAAGGUCGAAACGCCUGCAGUUGGCCGGCCGUGGUGGCUCACGCCUGUAAUCCCAACACUUUGGGGGGCCGAGGCGGGCGGAUCACCAGAGGUCGGGAGUUCUGGACCAGCCUAACUAACACGGUGAAACCCCGUCUCUACUAAAAAUACAAAAAAAUUAGCCAGGCGUGGGCGCAAGCUACUGGGGAGGCUGAGACAGGAGAAUCGUUUGAACCCGGGAGGUGGAGGUUGCAGUGAGCCGAGAUCGCCCCACUGCACUCCAACCUCGGCGACAGAGUGAGACUUCGAAUCAAGAAGAAAAAAAAAAAGAAAGAAACGCCUGCAGUUGGUUAGAGUGCCUUUGUUUAAGAACUUUUUAUAUUUUGCUGUACAAAGG
rnacentral:lncRNA from 1 species